GGUUAUGUUGGUUUAUUACAAUGUGAAAUUAAUCAAAGGGAGGUUGCUUUGUGUAAUUAAAGCACCAAUUAGGUGGUUGGUCAGAUUUUGAGUCAUUCAUGGAACUUCUAGGGCUGGGUGUUUUAAUUUAUUAUGAAAUAGCAUGUAUGACGAGGUUAAUACGAAAUUAGUAUGAAUGUGAUUAUAGAUUAACCAAAGGGAUUCAUACGGAUACUCAAGUGGCGAGCUUGGUAUUUUCAGCACAAGUAAUGUGAGUAGUAAUGCUACCACAAUUGAUGUUUUAUAA
rnacentral:misc_RNA from 1 species